rnacentral:sRNA from 1 species
AUUAACCUAUCUCAUGCUGAUGAGUUGAAAUAACAACGAAACAGCUGUCCAUGAGUGGUUCACUGGCAU